GAUUUGAUCACUAAAGUUAUUGACAGUAUUAAAAUCCUUCUGUAUGCUUUUGAAUGAUGUCUAAGUAGCUGUUCCUCAGUGUUCCAUCAUGUGUUGAUACAGGUGAAAUGAAGACAGUAUUUGUGAUGGAGGGAUAUUCUGUCACUCUACACACUGAUACUCAAAAAAGAAUGAACAAUGUAUAAAGUGGAUGUUUGAAGACAAUCUUAUAGCUAACAUCUCUGAAGAACAAACUUCUAGUUUUAGAGACAGACUGGAGCUGGAUAGUCAGACUGGAUCUCUGACCAUGAGGAACACCAGUGUCAAAGACUCUGGACUGUAUGAAAUGAUGCUCAAUAACACAAAACGUUGUAUAAAAAAGAGAAUCACUGUUAUUGUCACACCUGAGCCGAUCAAAUGUCUGUCUCCAGGUGAAACAGCAGGAAUAUGUAUUGGUGUUGGUAUUCUGGUGGCUGCAGUUGUUGCUCUGAUUUGCUGCUGCUGCUGCAAAACCUCUUUACUAAGAGGUUAACCAACAGAGCUCCAAACCAUCAGAGAAGCAGAGCUUGAAGAGAGUCCCUCUUCCCCUAUCCCAGUCAACUUCUUGUUUAAUUUCUGUUGAGCGAAGUGUAUUCUGUGAAUAAGAAGAAGUGGACAUUUAAUUUAUGUGUGAAUUUUAAUUACUAAAACCGUGUAGGGAGAUGGGUGCCAAUUUAUUUGGGUUUUACCCCCUUUCUAAUUUUUUUUUUUUUUUUUUUUUUUUUUACUAUGGGUUUUAAUGGGUUUUACAUUAGUCUGGUAGUAGGUUAAGACAACUUUAAUUUUUCUUUAAUUUGGCUUUCUUUUGUUAGGGAAUUUAUGUUGCUUAAACCCUUUAGGAAGUUUUUGAAUGAUUGUUAUUGUCCUU